rnacentral:rRNA from 1 species
CUGCUGGUAAAGGUCAUUACGUAUUACUUUACUUACCGGAGGAAAAGAAACCAACAGGGAUUGCCCUAGUAACGGCGAGUGAAGCGGCAACAGCUCAAAUUUGAAAUCUGGCCUCACGGUCCGAAUUGUAAUUUGUAGAGGAUGUUUCUGGCGACGUGUCUUCCGAGUUCCCUGGAACGGGACGCCAUAGAGGGUGAGAGCCCCGUCCGGUCGUACACCUAGCCUCUGUGAAACUCCUUCGACGAGUCGAGUAGUUUGGGAAUGCUGCUCUAAAUGGGAGGUAUACGUCUUCUAAAGCUAAAUACCGGCCAGAGACCGAUAGCGCACAAGUAGAGUGAUCGAAAGAUGAAAAGCACUUUGAAAAGAGGGUUAAAUAGUACGUGAAAUUGCUGAAAGGGAAGCGCUUAUGACCAGACUUGGGCUCGGUGAAUCAUCCGGCGUUCUCGCCGGUGCACUUUGCCGUCCCAGGCCAGCAUCAGUUCGCGCCGGGGGAUAAAGGUUUCGGGAAUGUAGCUCCCUCGGGAGUGUUAUAGCCCGUUGCGUAAUACCCUGGCGUGGACUGAGGUCCGCGCUCUGCAAGGAUGCUGGCGUAAUGGUCAUCAGUGACCCGUCUUGAAACACGGACCAAGGAGUCGUCUUCGUAUGCGAGUGUUCGGGUGUCAAACCCCUACGCGUAAUGAAAGUGAACGUAGGAGAGAGCUUCGGCGCAUCUCCGACCGAUCCUGAUGUUCUCGGAUGGAUUUGAGUAAGAGCAUACGGGGCCGGACCCGAAAGAAGGUGAACUAUGCCUGUAUAGGGUGAAGCCAGAGGAAACUCUGGUGGAGGCUCGCAGCGGUUCUGACGUGCAAAUCGAUCGUCAAAUAUGGGCAUGGGGGCGAAAGACUAAUCGAACCUUCUAGUAGCUGGUUUCCGCCGAAGUUUCCCUCAGGAUACGAGUGUUGAACUCAGUUUUAUGAGGUAAAGCGAAUGAUUAGGGACCCGGGGG